CUCGGCUUGAAAUCAGAAAUUCAAGGUUUUUAAUAAUAAUAUUUUAAAGAAUUUCAUUAUUUAAAAUAUUUAUUUAUGUGCUGUUAUCAUGUUUUGAAAUAUAAUGACUUAUAAUUCAGUAAUUCAAUGUGAAACAGAAUCGACUUAGAUUUUCGUAAAUUGCUAUUAAUAAUUCUGGAUUACUAACUAUAGAUUCAGAAAGCCAAACUUAUUGAAGUAUUUACUUAAUUUAUAAAUUAUACAUAGAUUAUAAAAACAAUGCCAAGUGAUUACUAAAACAAUCAAAUUCAUCCGACUCGUUGUUUCUUACUUUUAUUUAUAAGAUACACAUAAUGUACAUAUAAAAAUUCUUAAGUUUGGUUUGGUUUGGCUUUUAAAGAUCACUCGCCACAUCAGAAUAGAUAAGUUUCAGUCAUAUUAUGAAAGAAAAUAAUUUAUAGUGUUUUUAUAUAAACGCAAUAUUCUCAGAGAAGCUGGAACACGCGACUUACCUCUGCUAUUUGAGGACUUGAGACAGAAUCGGCCAGAUGGCCGUGUGGUAUAGCUGUGGUUUACCACCCUGGAGGAUCGGGUCUCACACCUCCAGUUUUCAGGAGGGUUCGGACCCGGUCCGUUGAACCCCCUCUUUCAACCAUCCGGUUGAUCCCAUUAUGGGUAUUGUCCAGCCUAUGAUGAUUCUAUAAAUGGCCACCCCCAAAUACCUCGUGCGAUACGGCGGCUUAAUCAAAUUAAUCUAACCUAACUAGAGACAGAGAUAUAUGGAUCUUUUUCACCUGUAUUAAAAAUACAUUAAUAAAAAAUGAAAUGUAAUAUUGCUUAUUAUUAUUAUUAUUUUAUAAGAGAAUUUAUGUUUAGCAUAGAUUCAUUAUAUAUCAGCAAAAUAAAAAUAGAAAGUAAUGUAAUAUAUCGAGGUAUUCAAACGGUCACAUAUACGAUUUCUACUAGAGAAUUUGGAAUCGAUUCUUGUUUCACAUAUCCAGAUUUUUUAAGGAAACUUCAAGCACGUCGAUUCCCGAUCUUCACUUAAUUACCAAUAAAGUAAUACCGUCUAAUUCUGAACACUUUGUUCAUAUAUAGUAUAUUGGGCUAUAUUGCCGUCUGAUAGUGAAUUUAUAUCUAUGACAUCAUAAAUCAUGGCCUGAUGAAGUUUAAAAGAAGUUGGAUAAAUAGUAAGCAAAUUUCAGUAUUUUAAUGUUUUUGGACAUGUUUCAUGUAAUUCUACAAUUUUUUAUUUAGCAUGCAUACAUCUGAAAUAUACUAAUUUGAGAAAUGUUAGUAAUUUUCCUGUUAAAUAUUAUGAAUGAGGCAUUCUAUGCACAUUUUGAUAUCAGGCUUAAGUUUUGUGUUGUUUACUUGAUGCUGAUCAUAAUCUCUUAUGGAGUUUAUGCCUGUAAUGGAUCAUGCUGAUUUUCUAUAUUGGACCAUUGUUUCCCUAUAGUAAACCUAUCUUAAUAUAUUUUUGAGAAAAUCAAACAUCGGAAAUGUUAAUACUUCCUUAUCUUGUGAUUGUCCUUCUACCAGUAGCUUCAAGAAAGUAACAUACAUUACCUCACUUUCUCCAGACAGACUCAAUCGAAGGAAAAGAAAUAAAACAAGCAUUGAAAUGACAGUUUUGACUAAAUUAUCAGAAGAAGGAAGCUUUACGAAAAGCUAGGGAAAUAGCAAAAUGCAUUGGCACCAGAAUCCCAUCAUGUAAUGCCGAAAGAUGGUAUUAGAGAAUUUGACAAGACCAGAAUGUAAAAAUAGCAAUGAUUCAGUGGAUAAAAUACAAAGUGUGGAUGUACGAGAAAUGUAUUAAAGUAGGCAAAAGGCAAAAAUGCUUUUAUUGUACUGGUAAAAGAUUAAAGAAGGACAAAUAAUUGAUUUUUCAUGGUUUAGAAGUUUCUUUAAUAAAUGAGUACAGUAUUUUUAUUUAACGUGAUUCAUAUCAGUAUUUUCAUUUAAUCUUGAUUCAUUUUUUGAAACUUUUAGCCAUAAAUGCAUUAAAAACUCCUACAUGUAAUCCUAAAUUGUAUCUCUCGGCAGUUUU
rnacentral:lncRNA from 1 species